UGAAGCUUCGCUUGAGGGAAAAGACAUCCUUGACAUAAACCAUCCUGUUGGUCCUUUUAGAACUAAGGUGGUGCCUAGGUUAAAUUACCAGCAUGUAAUGAGAUACUCAACGACUGUACCCAAUGAACCUGAUACCCACGACGAUUUCAAACCUACUAAUAAACUUGAGAGUUCUGGCCUUUCUUUGAGGGAUGUUGUUGAACAG
rnacentral:misc_RNA from 1 species